GAUUGCUCCGGUGGUCUAGUGGUUAGAGCGUCCGCCUCGGAUGCGGGAGGUUGUAGGUUCGAACCUUGGCCGAGUCA